rnacentral:tRNA from 1 species
GCCGGGGUGGCGGAAUUGGUAGACGCACAGGACUUAAAAUCCUGAGGGCCGAAAGGUCCGUGCCGGUUCAAGUCCGGCCCUCGGCA